rnacentral:rRNA from 1 species
CAGCCGCCGCGGUAAUACGUAGGGUGCGAGCGUUCAUCGGAUUUACUGGGCGUAAAGCGUGCGCAGGCGGCCCGUUAAGACAGGUGUGAAAUCCCUGGGCUCAACCUAGGAAUUGCGCUUGUGACUGGCGGGCUCGAGUACGGUAGAGGGGGGUGGAAUUCCUGGUGUAGCAGUGAAAUGCGUAGAAAUCAGGAGGAACACCGAUGGCGAAGGCAGCCCCCUGGGCCUGUACUGACGCUCAUGCACGAAAGCGUGGGGAGCAAACAGGAUUAGAUACCCUGGUAGUCCACGCCCUAAACGAUGGGUACUAGCCGUUUGGUGCGCGAUAGCGCUGAGUGGCGAAGCUAACGCGUGAAGUACCCCGCCUGGGGAGUACGGCCGCAAGGUUGAAACUUAAAGGAAUUGGCGGG